AGGAGAGCACGAAAGGUAAGAAAUGUCCAUGCCCUGUCACCAGCAAAUAAUGGCCACCAUUGAUCCACCCCAGAGGUGGCUACAUCUUAGCACCGUGGGAAUCAACCCCUCACAGAGACCAUUUGCCAUGAGGUUUGGGAUAGUUCUGGACCCCACUGCACUCAGAGUGACCUCCUCAUCCCAGGCCAGCUGGAGAAAAGGGUCCAGCCAA